AGUUAAAUAGGUAACCGGCCUCAAAGAGGGAAAGGGAAAAAAGAGGAAUAGCUUCUGCUGAAUAUUUUAGCUGAUGUUAUCUCAUUCAUGUGCCAGACCAGUAACAGGAAAAUAAAUGACUCUCAUCCUUUUGGUUCCACCUUUUGGACGUAUGUCAAACUGCAUUGGUUGGAAGGCAAGGUAGACAUUUUGAGGAUACCUGCAGGCAUGUUAAGGUGUCUCUUAAUGGAAUUUAGCAGCUGGAAAACAAGAAGGGGAGCCAACACCAUGCAAACAGCCAUCUCUUCACAGACCACCAUUUGAGAACCACUGGACUAUCCUGUUACUGCCACUGAUGCAAUGAUUUCUAAGAUUACACUCAUGAUUGAAGAGGUGUUGUAUUAAUAUUGGUUUUUUUUCUGAUUACGGCAUUAGGCUGGGAGUAAGAAGAUCUGGGUUGUAUUCCUGGUUUGACCAAAGUCACAAAUUAUGUCUAAGGCAAAUACAUGCAGUUUCUCUGGGUAAAAUUUCAAAAACUUCUAAGUGACUUAGGAAUCUAAAUCCCAUUUUCCAAAUUGACUUGGGUCCAGAUAUUUAUAUGCAUUACGUGAUGAUCUACUCACUGUUGCAAGACCUAAGUCUCAUUUUAAAAUGUGAUUUCAGUUUUUAGGAUCCUAAGUCUCAUUGACUUUCUAUAUGUCACUUUCAGUGCCUUUGAAAAUUUUACCUUCUCUCACUCUCCAUUUUACCAUCUGUAACAUGGGGAUAAUAAUACUCGGCUACCUCUCAGAGCUGUUGGGGGAGUCUUAAUUCAAUUAUGUUUGUCAACACUGUGAGAGUCUCCUAUGGAAUAAGUGGAAAGCAUGAUUUUAUUUAUUUUUAUUCGAUCACUCUUUUAUUGUAUUCAGUGGGAAAGCUUGAAUAAUCCAUAGAGUUGUCAAAUACAUUGGGGAAGCCGGAGUUCCUGAUUUUGCCCACCAUGCUUCUGGCAAAGAAAGGACCUGAGAGACAUUCCUAAACGAAAAAUAUAAACAAACUCGUGAAGCUACUCAGAUACUUAAAUGAUUAUUUUUUUUUGAAAAUAUGCCUUUAUCAAACAAAUAAAAUACAUUUUUGCCUUCAUUUUCCCCCCUGGUUUUGGUGGCAGGUUUCCCGAGGCAUCAGCAUGUGGGUAGUCACUCCCUUGCUCUAUUGAUCCUGACAAGGACAUGUGUUAAGGAGCCCAGUCCUCCCUGAGGCAGUGACUAACUACAGAUUUAACGGGUCCAAGCAAGGAGGAGGAGAGGUUCUAAAACUUGUCAUUUUUCUGGGAUCAUCAUUUCACCCUUUUAAUCUCAACCUUCUCCAUGUCUAUUUCACAUAAUCACGGUGUGUUAUAGCCAGGAGGCAGGCUCCCAGCAACUCUGCAGAGCCCUUCCAGAGUUGGCUGAUAUGGAGGGUAUAAUGCACAACUCUUCAGUAGGUGGGAAGUACCUGUAAGAGCAAGCAGUGCUCUCUAUAAGCCCGGAUACCCUGUGAGGACAGAAAGUGAGGCAGAGUCUGAAAUAAGGAAAGAGAGAGAGAGAGAGAGAGGAGGAGGACUGGAGCAUCCCUUCAUAUUAGCUGUAGGGGAGGGAGGUGAUGCAACUUGCAAAAUAACUUUUUUUUGGUUUAUCCUGAAACAAGUUUAUCCCUAGCCACAGAUAUCCAGAAUUGGCUACGGGCAGAUCCACUACGCAGGCCUAGCACACUACUUUUGAAGAAGAUGAGAAUCUGUUAAGUGUGUGUGGGGCAGGGUUAGAAGAAUAGUCUAUGCCAGAGGCCCAAAGUUUUAAUAUUAGAUGCUGUGAGCACAUAAAAGGUGAAGCUUGAUGAUUGGGCUCCAUUUAUAGCUAUUGUCCACACUAGGAAAUUUUGUAUCUUUUUUUUCAGCAACAGUUUUGGGUUCUGUUCUGAAGCUACAAAUCAUAGUUUUCAAAUGAGUGGCAAAAUAAGUUCUUCUAUGUUUAGAUUUUUUCUUGACCCACAAAAUUAUUAUUUAAAUAACUCUUUCCUGUUCUUGUCUAAUCUAUUAAAUAUGGUACGUCCAGUAAAAAGAAAAAUACCUUAAUUAAGUGCCAGAAGUAUGACCUAAUAGAAGCACUGCAAAAUACAAUAUGGAUUAAUAUAUUCAAAUAUUUCUGCAUUCUUACAGGGUGUAAGUCAUUGCGCAAUAUGACCAAUGACUUUUUAUUUCACUUACCAGCAUUAUGUUACCUUGAAAAAAUAACAUUAAAUGUGCAUCUGACAAAAGCAAAAAAAUUCUGAGAUUGUUUCCCCUAUAUUUUAAACUUAAUCUGUGUUGCAUCUAUGUAUUG